CUGGUACACAGUGGGGAAGGCAGGAAAACGAGGCGUAGAUGACUCUGGACACUGCCUAGGAUGGGCUGAGAGCCAGAGGAGGCCAGUGAGGCUGGGAAGCAGAGGUGUCACCCACAGACUUGAAGACUGGAAUCCAGCUGCUCAUCCACACCUUCGCAUCUAAAGUCAGCCUUAUGUUCCUGGCCUGGCAUCUGGUCUCCUAAUCCAGCAUCAUCAAGUGACCUGUUUCUCCUUAAAAUUUAUUCAGGGGUUAAUAAACAUCCGUGAGCACUCCCAA